rnacentral:snRNA from 13 species
GUGCUCGCUUUGGCAGCACAUACACUAAAAUUGGGACUCUACAUAGAAGCCCAAAAAGGCCUCAGUGCAAGGAUGAAAUGCUACGCAGCGUGCCAUUUUCUAUUUAU